rnacentral:rRNA from 1 species
AGAGUUUGAUCAUGGCUCAGAAUCAACGCUGGCGGCGCGCCUAACACAUGCAAGUCGAACGAGAAAGUGGAGCAAUCCAUGAGUACAGUGGCGUACGGGUGAGUAACACGUGGGUGAUCUACCUUUUAGUGAGGAAUAACCGAGGGAAACUUCGGCUAAUACCGCAUAAGCCUGAGAAGGGAAAGCAGAAAUGCGCUGAAAGAGGAGCCCGCGGCCGAUUAGCUAGUUGGUGAGGUAAGAGCCCACCAAGGCAGAGAUCGGUAGCCGGCCUGAGAGGGCACACGGCCACACUGGCACUGAAACACGGGCCAGACUCCUACGGGAGGCAGCAGUGGGGAAUCUUGCACAAUGGGGGAAACCCUGAUGCAGCGACGCCGCGUGAGCGAUGAAGCCCUUCGGGGUGUAAAGCUCUUUCGUCAGGGAAGAUAGUGACGGUACCUGGAGAAGCAGCUGCGGCUAACUACGUGCCAGCAGCCGCGGUAAUACGUAGGCAGCAAGCGUUGUUCGGAGUUACUGGGCGUAAAGGGUGUGUAGGCGGUUCUUUAAGUUUGCUGUGAAAUCUCCCGGCUUAACCGGGAGGGUGCGGUGAAUACUGAGGGACUAGAGUACGGGAGAGGAAAGUGGAAUUCCUGGUGUAGCGGUGAAAUGCGUAGAUAUCAGGAGGAACACCGGUGGUGUAGACGGCUUUCUGGACCGACACUGACGCUGAGACACGAAAGCGUGGGUAGCAAACAGGAUUAGAUACCCUAGUAGUCC